GCAAGUGUGACCCUAUCUCCUCUUGGGACCUCAUACACAUCGAAGUAUUGUUCCGCCUUAUCCAUCCAUUCAUAAGGGUCUCCACCACUAAACUUGGGAAAGUCUAUCUUGGGUUUUCUCAUCCCCUUCUCUUGUGGCACAAACCCCCUAGUUUCUUCCACAAAGCCUUUUUCCCGAAACCUCCUCCUUCCAUCCAUGACAUUCCUCCGGUCAAUAGGCCUUCGGACAUGGUAUGGCUCCUCUUCGGGUUCACUCCCACGGCUAAGCUCCUCGUCUUCUAGCCAUCUCUCAAUUUCUAUACCUCUAGCUUCGAUUCUUCCUCCUCUUCUUCGGGGCCUUGGUGGUCUAUCUCCUCUAGAUGGUUUGGCCUCAAGCCUCCCACUUCACUACCCCUCUCUUCCCGUCCUUGGUCCCGCCGAGAUACGUGCGACCAAGGGUCUCCUUCAUUUGAUCUUCUAAACUCCCUCUCUCUCUCAUUUUCACUCACCCUCCUAUCCAACCUCU
rnacentral:lncRNA from 1 species